CGACCGGCGCACGGGUGAGUAACGCGUAUCCAGCCUGCCUUACACUCUUGGACAGCCUUCUGAAGGGAGAUUAAUACAAGAUGUUAUCAUGAGUAAGCAUUUUCACAUGAUUAAAGGUUUACCGGUGUAAGAUGGGGAUGCGUUCCAUUAGAUAGUAGGCGGGGUAACGGCCCACCUAGUCUUCGAUGGAUAGGGGUUCUGAGAGGAAGGUCCCCCACAUUGGAACUGAGACACGGUCCAA
rnacentral:rRNA from 1 species